rnacentral:rRNA from 1 species
GAUGAACGCUGGCGGCGUGCCUAACACAUGCAAGUCGAGCGAAAGGACGUGAAGCUUGCUUCACUGAUGGUAGCGGCGGAUGGGUGAGUAACACGUGGAUAACCACCCUAUAAGACUGGGAUAACUUCGGGAAAACGGCGCCAAUACCGGAUGAUAUUUUGUACCGUAUGGUUCAAAAGUGCAAGGCGGUCAUGCGGUCACUUGUCGAUGUAUCUGCGCUGCAUUGGCUAGGUGGUAAGGGAACGGCUUAGCAAGGCAACGAUGCAUGGCCGACCUGUGCGGAUGAUCGGCCACACUAGAACGGAACCACGGUCCAGACUCCUACGGGAGGCAGCAGUAGGGAAUCUUCCACAAUGGGCGAAAGCCUGACCUGGCCAAGCCGCGUGAGGUAUAGAAGUCUUCCGUUCUUAAAACUCUGUUAUUAGGAUAGAACAUAUGUAUAGGUAACGGGUCACAUCUUGACGGUACCAAAUCAGAAAGCCACGGCUAACUACGUG